GGCCCGGUAGCUCAGUGGUCAGAGCGUUGGCGUAAUGUACUGGUAUUACAUCAGCUGACGGGGUGGGUUCGAAACGGUCCUGGGGCG